CCCCCUGCACUCUGUGUGAUUCCAUGUCUGUGAAUAAAGGACUGUAUGAUGGUUACAUCGAUAUGCCAGUACAGGGUAGCUGCAGAGAAGGAACUCCCUUAUGACAUCCUGUCUUCCCACCCCAUGCCUCUCUCUGGUUCCAGGCUGGGAAUAUGAAUUACCUGACUGGCAUUAGGCGUUCUGCUUGGCUGACAGCUGUCAUGAACACACGGGAUGGAAGAGAGACAGAGAAGGAUGAGUCUCUCAGUUAUCCUCCCUUAUUCCCUUCUCUCUUUCUCUUGAGGCAUUUCACUCCUUUAAGCAGUUGUAUAAUGAAGAUCUUCCUCCUGCGGUCCUUCCCAUUUAACACAGGGCACAGACACAGAGCAGGCAUUGUGGGCCACUGAAUCUCUUACUCUUUUGCAGAUCACAUACUGCAAUACUGUAUUUCAUCACCAGACAGACAACUGUAGGGAAAACA